rnacentral:rRNA from 1 species
UUUAACUGAGCGUUCAGUUACUUGACGUAGACCCGAAACCGGGCGACCUACCCAUGAGCAGGAUGAAGCGAAAGUAAAAUUUCGUGGAGGUCCGAACCCACGAGCGUUGAAAAGCUCGGGGAUGACUUGUGGGUAGCGGUGAAAUUCCAAUCGAGCCCGGAGAUAGCUGGUUCUCCCCGAAAUAGCUUUAGGGCUAGCCUCAAGGUGAGAGAUACGGAGGUAGAGCACUGAAUGUCCUAGGGGGUAUUGCACCUACCGAAGACUAUCAAACUCCGAAUGCCGUCAUCUUAUACUUGGGAGUCAGACUGUGGGUGAUAAGAUUCAUAGUCGAAAGGGCAACAGCCCAGAUCGUCAGCUAAGGUCCCUAAAUGUAAGUUAAGUGGUAAAGGAUGUGGGAUUGCACAGACAACCAGGAUGUUGGCUUAGAAGCAGCCACUCAUUCAAAGAGUGCGUAAUAGCUCACUGGUCGAGUGAUCCUGCGCCGAAGAUUUCCGGGGCUAAAACUUACUACCGAAGCUACGGCAUCAGUAAUGAUGGGUAGGGGAGCUUCCCAUACGGGUUGAAGCAUGACCGUAAGGACAUGGGGACAGUAUGGGAGUGAGAAUGUUGGCAUGAGUAGCGAGAUGUGGGUGGGAAUCCCACAGGCCGUAAACCCAAGGUUUCCAGGGGAAGGUUCGUCC